CCUUUCUCUCUCCUCUCACAUUAUAAUUUUUUGAAUUUUCUGCUCCUCAUAUCUCUCCCCUCCCUCUCUCCCCUCCUGUAAAUUCUGGACCACAAUCAUCGGAGAGUUCACCGGCGUUUUGGUCGGCGGAGUAAGGCACCUUAGGGAGCGCCUUACGGACCUCUUUGUUCGUCGGAGCUGAAUCACCGCCACUAGCAAAGCGGCGGAGCCAGACGCUUCUUGCGACGACGACGAGGCCGAGAACGGAGAUUAAUGCGUAGAGGAGAGCGGAAAGGAUUGUUCUGCCAUUUUAUCAACUCACGAAGGUAAAUCCUAGCAUUUUUCUAUUUUUCCGUCGUUAAUCUUCUCUAUUUUUAUUUCCAAAACCCUAAUUGUUGAAUCUUUAUAACGGUGUCGGCGGUGGUUUCUUUGAAAGCUGGUUGUGGUUAAGGCCUCUCUCUCUCUUUGAAAUCGCCGCCGCCGUCAUGCUUCAUCGCAUCAUAAUGGUUCAUCGCCGCCGCCGUCGUUGAGUGAGUCCUGAAUUGAAACCUAACAUCAGAACUUGAAAGGUAAUAGUAGUUAUGGGGUCCUGAAUUUAAACCUUGCUUUCAUAAAUUCUUCCUUGAAUUUAUUAAUUUACGGAUUGAUUAUUGAUUUUGAUAUUUGGUUUGAUUUGGUGCUCAAAUCCCUAACAGGUGAAUCUCUCGGCUUUGUUUGAGAAAUUUUAUUUGUGCGAUUGAAGAAGAAAAUGGGUCAGAUCCCAUAAUCAUGUAUGGAUUUUGAAUUUGAAUAAUAAAAUAUUUGGGGAUUUUUUCUGUUUUGUUAAUUAUUAGGAUUGCUAAUUAGGUGUUGAUAAUUUGUUUUCGUUUUGUGAUUAUUUUCUGGCACAUAGUUCUUCCAAAGAAUCUCCUUAAGUCUGAGGUUAGUUGUUUGAUCUGAUUUUGGUUUUAGUUCCCUUCAUUUUUUAUUUUGGAUUACUGAUUUCGGAUUGCCAUAAUUGAACAAUACUUGGGUUGUUUUUUAGGACAGUUGGUUGGUUGAUUUAGGACAGGGAUUUGGUUGAUUAUUACUUGGGUUGAUUUGCGUUUAAUUUUACUUUUCUGAAUUCGUGAGUAAAUUUGGUUGAUUAUUAUUCUGAUUUUUUUGGGAUUAUUUUCUGAAUUGAAUUCUGAUUUAAUAGUUGAAUACAUUGUUUUGUAAUCUGAUUAUUUUUUGCUGGUUUGAUUCCUUAAGCCUUUUUGUCUAUGUUACCCUUAUUUUAUAUCUGGGUUUUGCUUUUUGUUUGCUUUUGUGAAGAUUCAAAUUGAUUUUAUUCUUAUUAAUGUGAUAUUUCAUUUGUUUUGUUCAUUGUCGUUUAUGUUACCCUUAUUUUAUACCUUGAUAUUGUUGUUUACUGGUUGUGUCUGUUUCGUACGAAUUGUUCAUUGUUGAUAUUGUUAAAUAGGCAUGUGUCUGUUUCGUACGAGUUUUAGUUGUUGCUUUGGAUGCAACCGGUUAGUAGUAUUGCAUAUAAUUUCGCAAGGUCGCCGGCUGUGGCUCAUUAAAAAACUCAUGUUUUCUUCAAAUACAAGCUCUGAUGCAUGAACAGAAGGUGAUAGAGAUGGCAUUACAGCUACAUCGUUGAGUGCGUCACUAUGAAGUGGUUUAUAAGGACAAGAUUGAAGAUGUGAAUUCCAAGAUUCAAGAACCAACUCAGGUUGAAUAAGCAGUGUUACGGUUGCCACCAUUUCCCUUCAAAUCAAAGGAUCAACUCAAUUAAAUAUUUUAGGAUGAAUUUUAUUCAUGUAAGAGUUUUUCAGAGUUUUUCUUUUCUUUUUAUUGUAAUUUGCAUUUCUAAAAUAAUAAUACAAUGAUUCUCAUAUGGUCUGAAAUGGAAAUUGUAAUUCCCUCAAACUCCUGUGCCCACAGAGAUCAAUAUGAGCGGUUGGCUUCAAAAUUUUGAAGGCAUCUUUGUUGUUGAAGACUGUAAGCUCAUUUUACCGGGAAUUUUUUUUCUUUCUCUGUCUUGGGGUUUUGCGGUGGCAAAUUACUCUUUCUGAAUUGAGUUCUGGGGUUUGUAUUCCUAUUGUUUUCUUCUUUGAUUUGCCAAUAAAAGGUUGUGACUGUUAUCAUUGUG